rnacentral:lncRNA from 1 species
UAGCGGGUUCAAGCCCGAUGCCGUUUCCGUCUACGCCUCCCUGACCGACGUGUUGCUGUCUUCGACCGCUGGAUCCCCUCCAUGCCCACAUCCACGCAUUCAAUUGCAUGUUCGUCCACUCGGCGACGUUCACGCCCAUCACCGCGGACUAAUCUCUGCGCAAUUCAAGCACCGGUAUGGCCCCCAUGCGAUGCUAUGUUGUUUCCGCGACCUGUUGAACCAUAUAGAUCGAAGCUUGGUCGCGGGGACUAUGGGUGGGACGGUCCAGGCUAUGGCACCGCCGUGGGGAUAAAGUGCGGCCACCGGGGUAUACAGUGAUAAGGAUAGGAGAGAGAAUGAGCUGGGUGCUGAUCGGGCACCGUCCGAUCCGGAUCGUGCGGAUGCGGUUAGAUCGCGCGCAACGCUUCAGCCGGGAUUCACGCGGGCCGUAGAUUUGUGAUCGGGCGGGUGUAGGUUGAUCCAGCCUAAUAAAAUCGUGGCCGUUGGUGUCUGAUCUGGCGGUCCAUGUGGCAUACCGCUUCAUGAUCUAAUCCUGACCGAUUGAUCUAAUCUGAUCGGCUCAGAUGAGCUUAUACCCCUUCGCCGUGCCACUUUUGCGUAAGAGCCCCUGAUUUUCACAGUAAUCAACCCGCCGUCCCGUAUAGCUGGCGCGGUGUGUCUUAGAAAAUUUUACCCAGGCGCCCCUGAUCUUUCUGGUAAUUGAGGCCCAGUUCAGAGAUCGUUUAAAUCGAAUAAAUGAAUAGAGAAUGGAUUUUUUUUAACAUGAAAAUAAUUGCUAGAACUUCAAUAAUUCAUAGAAAAUGUAUAUGAACCCCAAAUUACUCCAUUCCACUUUCUAAAAUUUUGUAAUUUUAUUAUCUAUCACUUAGAGCCUCUGUUUUAUCAUGACAACAGUGAGAAAAUUAAUCCCACACUUAAUCCUAUUUUAAACACAUAAAACCUUUGAAAAUCCAUAACUUAAAAUCUAUAACUCGAAAAAUUAUGAUUCCUGUUCCUAGGUUUUUAUUUUAAUAUGUAGAAUAUUUCUGUGUAUUUUGUUCACAUGAUUGAUGUGAUGUUAAUUUUGCCUAUGCACGGCUUGUUUGUAUUGCUACGACUAGCGUGAGGUCACGUUUCAUCUGAAGAGCAAGUUGGUACCUGGAAUCUCAAGUCCCAGGCAAGUUGUGCCCUUGAUUCACUUUUGUUACCUAAUAAUAUUCUCUAUAAUCAUUUACCAUGCAUAGGUUUAAUUUUGAUGGGACCCGAUAGGUCACCCUAGAUUGUUUAUCUCAUUACCUUGUUUACCCCUGAAUCACUUGGAUAGUUUGCUAUUGCUUUACAUGGUUUUGGGAUAAUCAUUUAUUAUAUCCAUGUUCCAGUUAUUUUGUUAUUUUAUUUAUGUUCAUGUCAAGAUCAUUAAUGUUAAUUGGAACAUAGAGCUUAACUUGAGAAACACGUGCCACCACAAGGGUUUAUGGACGCCCUUAGCUGAUUAAUUAGGAAAGCUAGUGGAGGACUACCUUACCCGAAAGGGGCAAGGGCAGUAGGGGAGUGGUCAGUGUAGGGAGGUCCUUGGUUGAUUUUGCUGCGAUGGCAGUCAGGCAAGAACCCUGCAUUGGAGCUUCCUAUAAACUGUAGCGGGUUUUCUGAAGCUAGUGGAACUUUGUAAAGGCCUCGUAGUGUUACCCUGCCUCGCCUCCUCGGUAGAGGUGUAUGGGAAGUCGUGAUCCCUUGGCAGAUGGGUAACAUGACUUGUGGGUAAAGGGUACCACCUCUGCAGAGUGUAAAACUGGUAUACUAGCCGAGCUCACGGUCAUGAGCAGCUCAGGACUCUCUGAUGAUUAAUUUAUGGAACUAAAUUCAAUUUGUCAUAUGCAUUGCAUCGCAGGUGAUGUUGUUGUUACUUUUGUUCUACUAUUUAAUUGGGUUGGUAUUUACUUAUACUUAGUAAUUGCUAAUAAAAUUUUGACCAACUUUAAAAGCAAUGCUCAGCUUCAACCAUCCUCUUUGGUAAGCCUUACACUUCACGUGAGCUCCCACCUUUGGCGAGUUCAUACACAUUAUUCCGCACAACUUGUUGAGCGAUGAACGUAUGUGAGCUCACUCUUGCUGUCUCACACCCCCCCAUAGGUCAAGAACAGGUACCACAGGAUAAGGCGCAUGGAGGAUGCUGCGAUGUGUUCGUGAGAGGUCUAGGCCGUCGUCUCCCAGUCAACUUUGGGUUGCUGGACCGUUG